UUACGGUCAAAUCACGCUGAAAACACCGGUUCUCGUUCGAUCACCGAAGUUAAGCAUCGUAGAGACAGGUCAGUACUUAGAUGGGGGACGGCUUGAGAACACCUGGUACUGUAAG
rnacentral:rRNA from 1 species